GACGAACGCUGGCGGCGUGCUUAACACAUGCAAGUCGAACGGAAAGGCCCUGCUUUUGUGGGGUGCUCGAGUGGCGAACGGGUGAGUAACACGUGAGUAACCUGCCCUUGACUUUGGGAUAACUUCAGGAAACUGGGGCUAAUACCGGAUAGGAGCUCCUGCUGCAUGGUGGGGGUUGGAAAGUUUCGGCGGUUGGGGAUGGACUCGCGGCUUAUCAGCUUGUUGGUGGGGUAGUGGCUUACCAAGGCUUUGACGGGUAGCCGGCCUGAGAGGGUGACCGGCCACAUUGGGACUGAGAUACGGCCCAGACUCCUACGGGAGGCAGCAGGGGGGAAUAUUGCAAAAUGGGCGGAAGCCUGAUGAAGCAACGCCGCGUGCGGGAUGACGGCCUUCGGGUUGUAAACAGCUUUCGAAUGUGACGAAGCGUGAGUGACGGUAAUGGGUAAAGAAGCACCGGCUAACUACGUG
rnacentral:rRNA from 1 species